GCUGAAACAUCAGUUCUCAUACAAUCCCCAAAGUAAAGCAACAUCAAGCUUGGUCAGUACCUAGAUGGGUGACUACUUGGGAAUACUAGGUGCUGUAAG